GACGUAGGGGGCGAGCGUUGUCCGGAAUCAUUGGGCGUAAAGAGCGCGUAGGCGGCUUGGUAAGUCGGACGUGAAAACCCGAGGCUCAACCUCGGGCGUGCAUCCGAUACUGCCCGGCUAGAGGUAGGUAGGGGAGAUCGGAAUUCCUGGUGUAGCGGUGAAAUGCGCAGAUAUCAGGAAGAACACCAAUGGCGAAGGCAGCUCUCUGGGACGGUACUGACGCUGAGACGCGAAAGCGUGGGGAGCGAACAGG
rnacentral:rRNA from 1 species